rnacentral:rRNA from 1 species
UACGUAGGGGGCAAGCGUUGUCCGGAUUUACUGGGCGUAAAGAGCGUGUAGGCGGCCAAACAGGUCCGUUGUGAAAACUGGAGGCUCAACCUCCAGACGUCGACGGAAACCGUGUGGCUAGAGUCCGGAAGAGGAGAGUGGAAUUCCUGGUGUAGCGGUGAAAUGCGCAGAUAUCAGGAAGAACACCAAUGGCGAAGGCAGCUCUCUGGGACGGUACUGACGCUGAGACGCGAAAGGCGUGGGGAGCGAACAGG